rnacentral:rRNA from 1 species
GACGUAGGGCGCGAGCGUUGUCCGGAUUUAUUGGGCGUAAAGAGCUCGUAGGCGGCUUGUUGCGUCAGCUGUGAAAACCCGCAGCUCAACUGUGGGCUUGCAGCUGAUACGGGCAGGCUUGAGUUCGGUAGGGGAGACUGGAAUUCCUGGUGUAGCGGUGAAAUGCGCAGAUAUCAGGAGGAACACCGGUGGCGAAGGCGGGUCUCUGGACCGUAACUGACGCUGAGACACGAAAGCGUGGGUAGCAAACAGG